UUAGACAUGGUGUAGUCGGAAACACGGCCUCUCAUUGUUGAUUAUCCCUACAAACCAUUGGAGGCAGUCUAGGGUUCGGAUCCCUGUGUCUGAA